GGCAGCAUGGCCGAGUGGUUAAGGCGCUGGAAUUAGGUUAAUACCGUAUAUCCAGUCCGAAAGGGCGUGGGUUCGAACCCCACUGCUGUCA